rnacentral:sRNA from 1 species
UAUUUUGAUGCAGGUCAGUUAUUGCCCUUCUUUACGCCCUGUUGCGGGCGACAUUGAUCUUCGUCAAUUUCCCCAUCCGUCUUCUCCUUUAACUUGGCCCUAUCGCAACAGGGCACGAGCGGGAGGCCGGUCAUGUUUUUCGAUAACGUGGUAAUUGCCGGAGUGCUGACGGUCAGCCUCAUGGUGGUGUUUUUUGCAGGGUUUGGAAUUUUUAUCUGGAAGGACGCUAACAAGCGUAAAGAACCGUAAGUCUUUUCGGGUAUAUGAGCACGCAAGGCAUUUUGGGCGACUUCGGUCGCCCUUU